AAGACUAUAGACCUGCGGAGUACCUGCGGAGGGAUCAUUACAUGGCGGAGAAGGUGGGCAACCUGGCCAACAUCCAGGUUGUGAUGCCUUCACGCUCUUCCACCCUUGUCUAUUUGCACCUUCUGUCGUUCCCUCGGCGGGUUUCGACCCGCCGGCGGCAACAUUGAAAAACCCUUUUUGCAGUUAGCAUUCAAUUCUUCUGAUCAAAUAUUAAAUCAUUACAACUUUUAACAAUGGAUC
rnacentral:misc_RNA from 1 species